rnacentral:rRNA from 1 species
GUGGCGCACGGGUGCGUAACGCGUAUGCAACCUACCUCUUACAGUGGGAUAGCCCAGAGAAAUUUGGAUUAAUACCGCAUAGUAUAUGUGACCAGCAUUGGUUUCAUAUUAAACAUUUAUGGGUGAGAGAUGGGCAUGCGUUCUAUUAGUUAGUUGGAGUGGUAACGGCACCCCAAGACAGCGAUAGAUAGGGGCCCUGAGAGGGGGAUCCCCCACACUGGUACUGAGACACGGACCAGACUCCUACGGGAGGCAGCAGUGAGGAAUAUUGGACAAUGGGCGAGAGCCUGAUCCAGCCAUGCCGCGUGCAGGAAGACUGCCCUAUGGGUUGUAAACUGCUUUUAUACGGGAAGAAACACCCCCUCGUGAGGGGGCUUGACGGUACCGUAAGAAUAAGGAUCGGCUAACUCCGUGCCAGCAGCCGCGGUAAUACGGAGGAUCCAAGCGUUAUCCGGAAUCAUUGGGUUUAAAGGGUCCGUAGGUGGACCGUUAAGUCAGAGGUGAAAUCCUGCAGCUCAACUGUAGAAUUGCCUUUGAUACUGGCGGUCUUGAAUCAUUGUGAAGUGGUUAGAAUAUGUGGUGUAGCGGUGAAAU